rnacentral:rRNA from 1 species
CCCUUAGACGUUCUGGGCCGCACGCGCGCUACACUGACCAGUGCAACAAGCAUCCGUCCUUGGCCGACAGGCUCGGGCAAUCUUUGAACGCUGGUCGUGAUGGGGAUAGACUUUUGCAAUUUUUGGUCUUCUACGAGGAAUUCCUAGUAAACGCAAGUCAUCAACUUGCAUUGAUUACGUCCCUGCCCUUUGUACACACCGCCCGUCGCACCUACCGAUUGAAUGGUCCGGUGAAGCCUCCGGAUUGGCGCGCACCUCGGUGCCGCCGAGAAGUUGGCUAAACCUUACCAUUUAGAGGAAGGUGAAGUCGUAACA